rnacentral:lncRNA from 1 species
GUGAACUCUAAGGUUCGAAACUGGAAAAGAAAGUGAACUCUAGAUCAUAACUUCAGUAUUUUUGUAAGGCUCCUCUUUGGACUACAACUAAACUAUAACAUGCAAAAUCAAACUAUAACAACAAAUCUCUACAGAAUAAGAUAGAACUAUAACAAAAAUUAAAACCCCUAACAAAUCUCUACAGAAUUGUACAGAAAUAUAACAAAAAGUAAAACCCCAAACAAAUCUCUACAGAAUAAUACAGAAAAAUAACAACAAUUAAAAGCCCUAACAAAUCUCUACAGAAUUGUACAGAAAUAUAACAACAAUUAAAAGCCCUAACAUAUCUCUACAGAAUAAUACGAAAAUAUAACAACAAUUAAAAGCCCUAACAAAUCUCUACAGAAUUGUACAGAAAUAUAACAACAAUUAAAAGC